UGGGUGGGUGGUUGAGCACUGUGAUGGGGGGAAGUGGCUGACUGUGUGUCUCAUUGGCUGGCUGCUUCCUGAUGGGGCUGCAUCAAGUCUCCCAUUUCCACUUUGGCUAAGAGUUUGCUGAGGGCCACCAGUUUGCAACUUCUGCCUGAAAGGAAAGUAGAACUUGGCUGGAAGACAGAAUUAUGAAGAGACCAGAUAUAGAGUGAGAAAGAAAAAAAAAAGUACAUCCUUUGGGCUGAGCUAUUUCUAGCAUGAAAACAGGCCAACUUAUUUUUUAUUUAUUUUAUCUCCUAGCACCGGUUAGUAUGCUAAAGACAGCCACCAAGGAAGUGUAAAGUCCAAGAAGAAAUGUCCCAAGUAUCAACCACACAGACCAACACCUUCUCUUGGCCUUGGGAUUACAAAGAAAAGAGCACAGCCAAAUUGACAAGACAGUCAGGAAAUAGAUGGGCAAUGCUGUGUGAGGGGCACAGUGAUCGAAAUGUCAGCAUCUAAUAGAAGCUUGCAGGAAGAUGUUGUCAAGUUUAUCUUGUUCGGGCAUGGAGAUCUAAAGUGGAUUGUUACGAGAACAAUUUUUUUUUGUUAACGAAAAAAUUAAGCAAUUUUUUAUAUCAUGUGUACCACAUUUUUGAUGACAACGGUCUAUUAUUUAUACUGAUAACUAAGUAAAAGUCUAACUAUUCUGCUGGUUUCAUUGGCUGGUUUGGUUGUU
rnacentral:lncRNA from 1 species